rnacentral:rRNA from 1 species
GACGAAGGGGGCUAGCGUUGCUCGGAAUCACUGGGCGUAAAGGGUGCGUAGGCGGGUCUUUAAGUCAGGGGUGAAAUCCUGGAGCUCAACUCCAGAACUGCCUUUGAUACUGAGGAUCUUGAGUUCGGGAGAGGUGAGUGGAACUGCGAGUGUAGAGGUGAAAUUCGUAGAUAUUCGCAAGAACACCAGUGGCGAAGGCGGCUCACUGGCCCGAUACUGACGCUGAGGAGCGAAAGCCAGGGGAGCAAACGGG